rnacentral:lncRNA from 1 species
AGCUUCUCCCUCUCAUCUCUCUCUGAACUUAGCUCAAGGGCCAUAGAUGUUCCUAGGAACGACGAUGUCGCCGAUGUUGUUGUGCCACGGGUCCGCCAGGUGCGCGCCCAGGUUCUCCAGCGGGCCGGUGCCGGGGUACGCCGACUGCUGCACGCAGAAGCCCACGAACGCCAGCAUCGCCAGCCGCCCUGCAUCAUCAUCAGAGACAAGAUCAUACUACAUCAGCACCGAACGCUACACGCACUGCAGAUGGUUAAGAUUCAGGGGAUGGCACGUACCGUUCUUGAUCUCCUUGAGCUUGAGCUCCUCGAACUUGGCCGGGUCCUUGGAGAAUCCCAGCGGGUCGAAGGCGCCGCCGGGGUACUUCUUCUUCUCCGGGUCCUUCUCCAUGGUGCGCUGCUGCUCCGCGAAGGCGAUGGCCAGGAACUCGAUGGCCAGGAUGGUCGGCAGGUUGCCCCACGGCACGGGCACGCCGAAGUAGGUCGCCUGCCCGUCGGGGAGCGCCGCCCAUUCCUGCGCCUUCACCCAGUUCCCCAGCCCCAGCGCCUCCGGCACCAACACCCCUGGCUGCACGCCAACACGCACGGUUUAUCACUAGCGAACAGCUUGAAAAGUGAUGCAGAGGAGAGCAGAGGAGCACGGUUACGUACCA